rnacentral:rRNA from 1 species
GACGAACGCUGGCGGCGUGCCUAAUACAUGCAAGUCGAACGAACCGCGACUAGGUGCUUGCACUUGGUCAAGGUGAGUGGCGAACGGGUGAGUAACACGUGGGUAACCUACCUCAUAGUGGGGGAUAACAGUCGGAAACGACUGCUAAUACCGCAUAGGACAUAGGAUCACAUGAUCCAGUGAGGAAAGGUGGCGCAAGCUAUCGCUAAGAGAUGGACCCGCGGUGCAUUAGCUAGUUGGUAGGGUAAAGGCCUACCAAGGCGAUGAUGCAUAGCCGACCUGAGAGGGUGACCGGCCACAUUGGGACUGAGACACGGCCCAAACUCCUACGGGAGGCAGCAGUAGGGAAUCUUCCGCAAUGGACGCAAGUCUGACGGAGCAACGCCGCGUGAGUGAAGAAGGUCUUCGGAUCGUAAAGCUCUGUUGUUAGAGAAGAACAGCGCAUAGAGUAACUGUUAUGCGUGUGACGGUAUCUAACCAGAAAGCCACGGCUAACUACGU